AAUGUUGCAGUGAUUAUAAAAAAUUCCUCGUUCUGAAUGCCAUAUCUAUGGCAUGACAGACAAAUUUACAAUAGAAUAUGAGCAACG